rnacentral:lncRNA from 1 species
CAAUUAGUAUGCAUUUACUGACGAUCCUGAGAUGCCCUUCAUUGUGCAAUAAUAUCAGACCACCUACUAUCAGACCACCUACAUCAGUUGAGGCCAGUGAUGAAGUAUCUCGGUAAUGCUUGAAGUUAGUGUUGAUUGUGAACGCUCCCUUUCUCUUCUUAUACGUUGAGCUUCUUGACGCGGAGAUAAUUCUGCCCUAUUAUUUUGAAGAAUUAGAAUAUUGCAUAUAAUGAAAAAGUAUCUUACACAGGAUUAAUAGUAACGAUGAUAUUAAAUCUUGAUGAUUUUGAGAUUAAUGAAAUUAAUAAUAUCAAUAGAAUAAAUUAUAAUUGAAUAGGUAAACUUUACCUUUGUUGGACUAUUGAAUUUAGUAAUGAUGGUGCCCGUUCCUUUUCUUUGCUUAUACGCUGGUCUUCCUUUGAAUUACUUUUCUCUUCACCACUAUUUGAUUGCUUCAUUUCCAAUGAUUUCUUUGAUCUUCAAACAGACAACAACAUGAUAUUAGAACUUAGCUUUGUAGAUAAAAACUCAGACAGGGUCAAAACCCACAUAUAUAUAAUAAUUAGUAUUCGUUUGUAAAGACAAAUUCUCAAGCAUGGAAAAAGGUUCUUUGGACCUAAUGUCUUUAUGAUAUAAAAAAACAAAAUAAUAAAUUUUUACUCGAUAGGGAAAGAUUACUUUGGUUCAAUAUUUGAAUUUAGAACAGAUUGUCACCGUUCCCUUUUUCUUCUAAGACGUUGACCUUCUUGACGGGGAGAUAAUUCCACAAUGUCAUUUGGCAAAAUUUGUUGACUGCAUACAAAGGGAAAACAUGUUACAUAGAAAAUGAGUUAACAAUGAAAUUAAAUAUCUAUGAUCUUAAGAUUCAUCAAUUUAUUAACUUAUCUAGAUCAAAUUUUAAGUGAAAUAGUAAAAUUUACAUUGGUUCAACUAUUGAAUUUAAUACUGAUUGUGCUCGCUCCAUUUCUUUUCUGAUACAUUGGUCUUCGUUCGAAUUACUUUUCUUUUCAACUCCAUCUGACUGUUUCAUUUCCAACGACUUCU